rnacentral:rRNA from 1 species
CACGCCGUAAACGAUGAAUACUAGGUGUUGGGGAGCAAAGCUCUUCGGUGCCGUCGCAAACGCAGUAAGUAUUCCACCUGGGGAGUACGUUCGCAAGAAUGAAACUCAAAGGAAUUGACG